rnacentral:lncRNA from 1 species
CUGUAGAUCCCGAAGGGCUCCUCGGGGGCAGCUGCCGGCUGACCUCACCUGCUGGUUCCACCAGUGCGCGCCCACGAAACCGGCAAAAUGUCCCAACUGCAGUAUCUCUCCGCUGGCUGAUAGCUCCCCGGGCAAAAAGAAAACCUUGCCAGAAAAGCGGAAGCUCCCCUAAAGCCUCCCAUGCCCCUUCAUCUCUUCAGAAGUCACGUGGACCACGACUAAUAACCUGUGGACUGGCUUAGCUAUCAUAUCUCUAUCAUUUACACGUAUUUAUCUAUCUCUGUGUAUCUAACACCUUAUGUAAAGAGAGUAUGUA